rnacentral:lncRNA from 1 species
ACGGGACUCCUGAACUACGGGUGGGUGUCGGCGUUCACUAUCUUAUCUUCAGUCUAGCGAGCGGUGCCUAUUCCUCAACGAGCAAUUAUACGUGUGUGUCGUUGUGAACUGACGUGGCUUUGUAUAUUGAGGAAGUGGUAAUGUAAGAACGUUGUUAAUGGUAAAGAUAAAGUCUGACAGGAUAUUGCGUAACUCCUUCGGACGAAGCGUUUGGCCAGCGGAAGCGGAGGGACAUUUUGCUGUGAAUGGCUCUGUGACUCCCUUUUCAUCGUAGGCUGAGUAAAAAAGCGACUGGUAUUGAAUAAUGGCUACCUCAGUAUAUAAACUGAAGCAAAAAAAUGGCGGCAAACAUCUCUUCGGGGGUAAAAUUUUCAAAAAAGGGAGACACAUGAAAUUAACGUCAUUUUUGACUUUUUUAUUUUUUUCAAACAUGCAUGUUACGCGGUUCUUGGACUGAAAAGGAUGAACUUCUUCGUAUUCCUAGACGACGACUUUGAAUGCAAAACAUUAACGCACUGACAUGGCUCAAUUUUGGUCGUGGUAAGGGAGGGUCAUUCACAAAUGGCAACGGGGGGACACAUUUCCAAAUUUCACUCAGGAAGCCCAUUAUGCUCCAAAUGCCAGUUGUUGUGUUAACUGAUGUAUUUGCAUGUGUUUUGUCAAUAGUGGAACACUUUCAUUUUUGAUUAAUGUUUUAUGGCUUUAUUAGUGAAGCUGCCACGCUAAAAAGUGGAUAACGUUUUCAAUUGUUCGUGUGGAUCAAGAAAAAUGUGCCACUAAAGGUAGAUUCUUUAAAAAUAAACACUGAUUUAGACACAGUAUUAUUCAAUAUCUGAUAAUAAUUUCAUUCUGGUGUGAAAAUCCACAACAGACUGCCUGCCUAAAACAAAGAUUUCUUGUGACAAUCCAACUUUCUAUUUUGGGCGGGGUCAAAAAUGCAGAAAAAACGGAACAUAUUCUGAGCUCCUUAAUUAUCAAAAUGUUACUGUUUGGGGAUAACUUGGAGAUGAAAAGUCCAUGAAUUUGAUAUAAAUUUCCCUCAUUGAACUAGCCAGAUUCAUAUGACAUUAAUAUGACGCCAGGUGUCAACGAACGUAUCUAAGGCUCACAUCUCAUUCAAGACCAGUUCAGUAAACUUCUCUCUGACUGCAGUAAAAUCCCUGGCACUUAGUUUAAAAAGAUCUGUCCUGCAAUAAUUGUCAGGUUGAGAUUUAUAUUGCACCCAAGGAAGCCCUGUUGUCCACCUUAUUCCUUAUUCAGUGCUAGUUGUACAGAAGCCAUUCCGAGGGAUUCAUUUGAGGCCUUAUUUUAUUAGCAUCACUGGAGUCAUCACAAACUUUUGUUGAAAUCGUGGGACUGAUUCAUUAUUUGGAAAGAAGCUACGACAAUGGUUGCAACCAGUUCUCCAAAAAAGGAAACCUUGCAGAAAAAAAUAUCACAUUUAAAGGAGCUAUGUCAAGCCUAAGACAGUUUUCUAACUCGCCCAGGGCAUUAAAAAAUUAUUUGUGCAUCUAUCAUCUCCGAAAUUCAUUAGUCUAGAAAGUGUUCCUCUUUUACCGACAACGGACGGACACAUCACCCCCUUAAAAACGUGUCUGCAAAAAAAAAAAAAAAAAAAAAAAAAA